rnacentral:rRNA from 1 species
ACGCUCGACACCUACGAGAGGCAGCAGUGGGGAAUAUUGCACAAUGGGGGAAACCCUGAUGCAGCGACGCCGCGUGAGCGAAGAAGUAUUUCGGUAUGUAAAGCUCUAUCAGCAGGGAAGAAAAAUGACGGUACCUGACUAAGAAGCACCGGCUAAAUACGUGCCAGCAGCCGCGGUAAUCUGAGCGGGCUGGCGAAGGC